rnacentral:tRNA from 2 species
CGGGGCGUAGCGCAGUCUGGUAGCGCAUCUGGUUUGGGACCAGAGGGCCGAAGGUUCGAAUCCUUUCGCCCCGA